rnacentral:rRNA from 1 species
AUUGAACGCUGGCGGCAGGCCUAACACAUGCAAGUCGAACGGUAACAGGAAACAGCUUGCUGUUUCGCUGCCGAGUGGCGGACGGGUGAGUAAUGUCUGGGAAACUGCCUGAUGGAGGGGGAUAACUACUGGAAACGGUAGCUAAUACCGCAUAACGUCGCAAGACCAAAGAGGGGGACCCUCGUGCCUCUUGCCAUCGGAUGUGCCCAGAUGGGAUUAGCUUGUUGGUGGGGUAACGGCUCACCAAGGCGACGAUCCCUAGCUGGUCUGAGAGGAUGACCGGCCACACUGGAGAUGAGACACGGUCCAGACUCCUGCGGGAGGCCGCAGUGGGGAAUAUUGCACGAUGGGCGCAAGCCUGAUGCAGCCAUGCCGCGUGUAUGAAGAAGGCCUUAGGGUUGUAAAGUACUUUCAGCGGUGAGGAAGGGAGUAAAGUUAAUCCCUUUGCUCAUUGACGUUACCCGCAGAAGAAGCACCGGCUAACUCCGUG